ensembl:misc_RNA Metazoa_SRP Metazoan signal recognition particle RNA
GCUGGGCGCGAUGGCUCACGCCUGUAAUCCCAGCACUUUGGAGGCCGAGGCGGGUGGUUCACCUGAGGUCAGGAGCUGGAGACCAACCUGGCCAACAUGGCGAAACCCCGUCUCUA